CGAGGCGGAGAAGGGACAGAGCCUUGUGUAUGUCCUACUUUAUUGGACCUUUACAGGGAAAAUGGUGUUGUCAAAGGCUUUCUGAACAGAGUCCCAAGAUAGGAAAAGAGGUUGUAUGUGGGAUGCUGAAUAAUGAUGUCCUAAAACAUACCCCUGUCCAAAUCCCUCCAACCUGUCAAUGUUACCUUACAAGGUAAAAAAAGGAUCUUGUGGGUGGGAUUACAUCAAGGAUCCUGAGAUGGGGAGAUAAUCCUCCAUCAUCCAGGUGGCUCUAAGUGCCAUCAUAAGGGACACUGGCCACAGAUGUCGAGAAGGCAGUAUGGCCAUGAGGGCCACGAUGAGUGAUAUGGCACAAGCCAAGAUAAACCACAGCCACCAGGAU